AUGUAAUGAGUAUCACAUGUAGGAUCCCAUCAAAACUCCGCAGUUAAGCGUGCUUGGGCAAGAGUAGUACUAGGAUGGGUGAUCCCUUGAAAAGUCCUCGUGUUGCACCCC